CUGUGGUGCCGGAAGAGUAGAAAAGAGCAGCGACGUCGUUUUGUUUCACAUCAUUCACCGGUAAAUCGGAAACUUCGCCGGAUAAUUUUAUCAAAUCUGAAUAAUUCCAAAUCUUAGAGUUUGAUACUAAACCGUCGGAAUUUGGAGAAUUUAAUAGAAUUAAUGACAAAUUGAACGGUUUUACUUUGUGGAGAAGUUGAGGGAUGGUAAUUAUGAGCUUCGGAUUACAGUCUUUGACUUGCUUAGAGAUCUCAGCUGUAGUAUACCCCGGGUUACAGGUGGAAGCGANNNNNNNNNNNNGACGAUUGCGAGGAAGCAAACGGGGAAAUGGAUAGAAUUCGGGGCCAAAAUAAGAACGACAUCGUUUUUAACUAUGUUAAGCUCGAGCAAGACGUGAGCCAGCUUGGACACUUGGAUCCUGAGCUGCUCGAAGGUUAGAGUGUCGCCGGAGUCAGCGUCGAUAAGAGCAGCGGUGCAAGAGGAAGAAAAAGUGGAGUGGAAGAGGAAAGAGGUAAGGGAAAGGUCGGGGUUUGUAGGGAGAUGAACUCGCGGUCUUGGAGAGGAGUAGGUUUGGGUACGGGGAUCGUAAGAUUUUGUCAUGGUGAGAGAAAA
rnacentral:misc_RNA from 1 species